CGAGGAGAAGAGGUUCUAUCCGGGGCCUUGGCGCUUCUCUUUCCUUUCGCGCCGGUUGCCGCUGCGGAGCGCGGUGGGUCCAUGUGCGCAGUGAGCGGCGCUAUUCCUGGCCCAGUAGCACCCGAGCCCCGGGUUUGACCGAGUCUGCGCUGCGAUGGACCCCAACACCAUUAUCGAGGCCCUGCGGGGCACCAUGGACCCAGCCUUGCGUGAGGCUGCGGAGCGCCAGCUCAAUGAAGCACACAAGUCUCUGAAUUUUGUUUCAACACUGCUUCAGAUAACCAUGUCGGAACAACUCGAUUUACCUGUGAGACAGGCAGGUGUUAUCUAUUUGAAAAAUAUGAUAACACAGUAUUGGCCUGAUCGGGAAACAGCACCAGGAGAUAUAUCUCCUUAUACUAUUCCAGAAGAAGAUCGACAUUGUAUUCGAGAAAAUAUUGUAGAAGCUAUUAUCCACUCUCCUGAGCUCAUCAGGGUACAGCUUACUACAUGCAUUCACCAUAUCAUCAAACACGAUUAUCCAAGCCGCUGGACUGCCAUUGUGGACAAAAUUGGCUUUUAUCUUCAGUCUGAUAACAGUGCUUGUUGGCUAGGAAUUCUUCUUUGCCUUUAUCAGCUUGUGAAAAAUUAUGAGUACAAGAAACCAGAGGAACGGAGCCCAUUGGUAGCAGCAAUGCAGCAUUUUCUACCAGUUCUAAAGGACCGUUUUAUCCAGCUUCUUUCUGAUCAGUCUGAUCAGUCUGUCCUUAUCCAGAAACAGAUUUUCAAGAUCUUCUAUGCUCUUGUUCAGUAUACAUUACCACUGGAACUGAUAAAUCAACAGAACCUGACAGAAUGGAUAGAAAUUUUAAAGACUGUUGUGAACAGAGAUGUACCUAAUGAAACACUUCAAGUUGAAGAAGAUGAUAGACCUGAGUUACCAUGGUGGAAAUGUAAGAAAUGGGCUUUACAUAUCUUAGCAAGGCUUUUUGAAAGAUAUGGAAGCCCUGGCAAUGUUUCCAAGGAGUAUAAUGAAUUUGCUGAAGUAUUUCUGAAGGCAUUUGCUGUUGGUGUCCAGCAGGUUUUAUUAAAGGUAUUGUAUCAAUACAAGGAGAAGCAAUAUAUGGCUCCCCGAGUUUUACAACAGACAUUAAAUUAUAUUAAUCAAGGAGUUUCACAUGCCCUCACCUGGAAGAAUCUGAAGCCUCAUAUACAAGGCAUUAUCCAAGAUGUUAUUUUUCCAUUGAUGUGCUAUACAGAUGCUGAUGAGGAACUUUGGCAAGAAGAUCCUUAUGAAUAUAUACGCAUGAAGUUUGAUGUGUUUGAAGAUUUCAUUUCUCCCACUACUGCUGCCCAAACACUUUUGUUCACAGCUUGUAGCAAGAGGAAAGAGGUACUGCAAAAGACCAUGGGAUUUUGCUACCAGAUUCUUACAGAACCAAAUGCUGAUCCUCGAAAAAAAGAUGGAGCCCUGCAUAUGAUUGGAUCUUUAGCUGAAAUACUUCUCAAGAAAAAGAUCUACAAAGAUCAGAUGGAAUACAUGUUGCAGAAUCAUGUAUUUCCUCUCUUCAGCAGUGAACUAGGCUAUAUGAGAGCAAGGGCUUGCUGGGUCCUUCACUAUUUUUGUGAAGUGAAGUUCAAAAGUGACCAGAACCUGCAAACGGCCUUAGAGCUGACUCGGAGAUGUCUGAUUGAUGAUAGAGAAAUGCCUGUGAAAGUGGAAGCUGCGAUUGCACUUCAAGUGUUGAUCAGCAAUCAGGAAAAGGCUAAAGAAUAUAUCACUCCAUUUAUCAGACCUGUGAUGCAGGCUCUUCUUCAUAUUAUAAGAGAAACAGAAAAUGAUGAUCUUACCAAUGUAAUUCAGAAAAUGAUCUGCGAAUAUAGUGAAGAAGUUACUCCUAUUGCAGUAGAAAUGACACAACAUUUGGCAAUGACAUUUAAUCAGGUAAUCCAGACUGGGCCAGAUGAAGAAGGAAGUGAUGACAAAGCAGUUACUGCUAUGGGAAUCCUGAAUACCAUUGACACACUUCUUAGUGUAGUUGAAGAUCAUAAAGAGAUAACCCAGCAGCUUGAGGGCAUCUGCUUACAGGUCAUUGGAACUGUUUUACAACAGCAUGUCUUAGAAUUCUAUGAGGAGAUCUUCUCUUUAGCACAUAGUUUGACAUGUCAACAAGUGUCUCCACAAAUGUGGCAGCUACUACCUCUCGUAUUUGAGGUUUUUCAGCAAGAUGGGUUUGAUUACUUUACAGAUAUGAUGCCUCUGCUUCAUAAUUAUGUAACAGUUGAUACAGACACACUUCUGUCAGAUACCAAGUAUCUUGAAAUGAUAUAUAGUAUGUGUAAAAAGGUUCUUACAGGAGUUGCAGGAGAAGAUGCAGAGUGUCAUGCAGCAAAAUUGUUAGAGGUCAUCAUUCUACAGUGCAAAGGGCGUGGCAUUGACCAGUGCAUUCCCUUAUUUGUGGAAGCAGCUUUAGAGAGACUGACAAGAGAGGUGAAGACAAGUGAACUUCGGACAAUGUGCCUGCAAGUUGCCAUUGCAGCUCUGUAUUAUAAUCCGCACCUCCUUCUGAACACCUUAGAAAAUCUUCGCUUCCCUAAUAAUGUUGAACCAGUUACAAAUCAUUUUAUUACACAGUGGCUUAAUGAUGUUGAUUGUUUCUUGGGGCUUCAUGACAGAAAGAUGUGUGUUCUGGGCCUGUGUGCUCUUAUUGAUAUGGAACAAAUACCACAGGUUUUAAAUCAAGUUUCUGGACAGAUUUUGCCAGCUUUUAUCCUUUUGUUUAAUGGAUUAAAAAGAGCAUAUGCCUGCCAUGCAGAACACGAGAAUGACAGUGAUGACGACGAUGAAGCCGAAGAUGAUGACGAAACUGAGGAACUGGGGAGUGAUGAAGAUGAUAUUGAUGAAGAUGGGCAAGAAUAUUUGGAGAUUUUGGCUAAGCAAGCAGGUGAGGAUGGAGAUGAUGAAGACUGGGAAGAGGAUGAUGCUGAGGAGACUGCUCUGGAAGGCUAUUCCACAAUCAUUGAUGAUGAAGAUAACCCUGUUGAUGAGUAUCAGAUAUUUAAAGCUAUAUUUCAAACUAUACAAAAUCGUAAUCCUGUGUGGUAUCAGGCUUUGACUCAUGGUCUUAAUGAAGAGCAAAGAAAACAGUUACAGGAUAUAGCAACUCUGGCUGAUCAAAGAAGAGCAGCCCAUGAAUCCAAAAUGAUUGAGAAGCAUGGAGGAUACAAAUUUAGUGCUCCAGUUGUGCCAAGUUCUUUCAAUUUCGGAGGCCCGGCACCAGGGAUGAAUUGAGUUAUCACUUUCUUUCCUGCUGUGUGAUUGUAGUGAAGAGCUUGUGUUCCUCCUAGUAGCGGUUCCAGAACUGGUUUAUGUUAUCUACUCUAAACUAAUUGAUCAAUAGAUGGACAAAAAAACCCAGGAGGUAAAAAUGGUGAUUACUAAGCUACACACCUUAUCAAGAUAGUGACUGCCGUGCUCACCUCUGGAAGAAACUAGAGUGUAGAGCAGGGGUCGCCAAACCACAGUCCCAUGACUAUAUGCCUUUAUUCAGCCCCAGAUGUAGGCCCUGAAGCAAGCAUGAAGAAAAGGUUAUUAAGAACUCUGUUAAUAUGACUAAACCACAUCUUUUGGAAGAUCUAACAAUGCCUUAAGCAUAGUAGGCAUUCCAUAAAUGUUUGUAAAAUGGAUGACCUAAAAUUACAUUAAAACUUAUCCAUUAUAAAAAUGUCA